CUGAGCUCAGCACCCAGGUGUCCUGAUUCCUAGGCAGGUGCCCAAGCCACUUGACUGUGAUGCUUAUAUUAAGAAGAAAGUUCCAGCAUCACUGUUGAAAUAGUUUGCCAGGAGAAGUAGGCAGGGAACAAAUUCAGAAGUGCUCAGAGUUAAAUAAGAGCUUGGAAAGCAUAGCUUAGUGUCCUUCCUAUUUAACACAGGCGGUUGGAUCAGAGGACUCAGAAGCUGUUCAAACAAGCCCAUGACAGAGGUGUCUGCCACCACAGCCUUGAAUUUUGCUACUUUGUAUAAAACUGUUGCUUAAAUGUUAGUAAGUUUUAUUGUGUUGAGUGCAGCUUUCCUGUAUCCCUGGCAUUUUUAACGCAAAUUGACUUCAGACUGCCACAUGUUUUGACUUUUUUU